rnacentral:rRNA from 1 species
GGAGCUGGGGGUGGCCGCAGAGACCAGCGAGAAGCGACUGUUUACUAAAAACACAGGUCCGUGCGAAGCCGUAAGGCGAUGUAUACGGACUGACGCCUGCCCGGUGCUGGAACGUUAAGGGGACCGGUUAGCUGCAUUUCGGUGUGGCGAAGCUGAGAACUUAAGCGCCAGUAAACGGCGGUGGUAACUAUAACCAUCCUAAGGUAGCGAAAUUCCUUGUCGGGUAAGUUCCGACCUGCACGAAUGGCGUAACGACUUCUUGACUGUCUCAACCAUAGGCCCGGUGAAAUUGCAGUACGAGUAAAGAUGCUCGUUUCGCGCAGCAGGACGGAAAGACCCCGGGACCUUUACUAUAGCUUGAUAUUGGUGUUCGGUUCGGCUUGUGUAGGAUAGGUGGGAGACUGUGAAGCAUGCACGCCAGUGUGUGUGGAGUCGUUGUUGAAAUACCACUCUGGUCGUGCUGGAUGUCUAACCUGGGUCCGUGAUCCGGAUCAGGGACAGUGUCUGGUGGGUAGUUUAACUGGGGCGGUUGCCUCCUAAAGAGUAACGGAGGCGCCCAAAGGUUCCCUCAGCCUGGUUGGUAAUCAGGUGUUGAGUGUAAGUGCACAAGGGAGCUUGACUGUGAGACUGACGGGUCGAGCAGGGACGAAAGUCGGGACUAGUGAUCCGGCGGUGGCUUGUGGAAGCGCCGUCGCUCAACGGAUAAAAGGUACCCCGGGGAUAACAGGCUGAUCUUCCCCAAGAGUCCAUAUCGACGGGAUGGUUUGGCACCUCGAUGUCGGCUCGUCGCAUCCUGGGGCUGGAGUCGGUCCCAAGGGUUGGGCUGUUCGCCCAUUAAAGCGGCACGCGAGCUGGGUUUAGAACGUCGUGAGACAGUUCGGUCCCUAUCCGCUGCGCGCGUUGGAGUUUUGAGAAGGGCUGUCCCUAGUACGAGAGGACCGGGACGGACGGACCUCUGGUGUGCCAGUUGUUCUGCCAAGGGCAUGGCUGGUUGGCUACGUUCGGGAGGGAUAACCGCUGAAAGCAUCUAAGCGGGAAGCCUGCUUCGAGAUGAGGACUCCCACCCACUUUGUUGGGGUAAGGCUCCCAGUAGACGACUGGGUUGAUAGGCCGGAGAUGGAAGACCUGUGAGGGUUGGAGUUGACCGGUACUAAUAGGCCGAGGGCUUGACCAUA